rnacentral:rRNA from 1 species
UACGUAGGGGGCCAGCGUUGUCCGGAAUCAUUGGGCGUAAAGAGCGCGUAGGCGGCCAGAUAAGUCUGGUGUGAAAGUCAAAGGCUCAACCUUUGAAUGCCGCUGGAAACUGUCUGGCUAGAGUCCGGGAGGGGCGAGUGGAAUUCCUGGUGUAGCGGUGAAAUGCGCAGAUAUCAGGAGGAACACCAAUGGCGAAGGCAGCUCGCUGGGACGUUACUGACACUGAGGCGCGAAAGCGUGGGGAGCGAACAGG